GAGGGUAGGAUGAAUCCUUUUGCGCGCAGUUGUGUACGAAGCGCCGUGUUGUUAGGACGCCCUUUCACCUCGGUUCCUUUGGAAUCACGUGAUGCCUGGGAUGUGAAUGAAGUAUAAAGGGACAAAUGGAAUCCUUGGUGCUUCUGGUGGCUAACAUUAUCAUUCAUGGGGUGGACGCUCAAAGUCACGGGCCCGUCUUCCUCCAGGAACCCCCGUCCCACCUGACGUUCUCCAAUACUACUGGUUCUCAAGUCAGCUGCUCGGCUCAUGGAUCACCAAAUCCUCAAGUCGAUUGGCUUCUACAGGAUAGCCAAACCGUUACUGCUGUACCUGGACUAAGGCAAUCACUGGGCAACGGUACUCUCUACUUCCCACCCUUCAGAGCUGAGGACUACCGGAAGGACGUACACUCAACCGUCUAUCGAUGCAGGGCAUCUAACUUGGCCGGCACAAUCAUCAGUAGAGAUGUUCACGUUCGCGCAGUGGUCAACCAACAGUAUGAAGUCCAAGUUUACCAUACCUACGUCUUAGCUGGAAACACGGCCGUUUUGCUUUGCGUGAUACCGUCGUUCGUGAAAGAGCAUGUCAGUGUCACUUCCUGGUCAAGAGACGAUUCAAUUCUCCUACCCGGUUCCAACAUGGGAGGCCGGAUAGUGGUGACUUACGGGAGCGGCGAAUUGCAUAUUAGGUCGGCACGUGCGGAAGACGGUAUGGCGAAGUACUCUUGCUUGACGUUACACGCCUUGACGCAGGAGCGAAAGAGAAGCGGAGCGGCGAUGCUUACUGUCACAGAACCAACGGGUAGUAUGCCACCAAGAUUAGCACCGUCGGCUCAGACGUCGGUAUCUGCGGAUAGAGAAUCAGAUGUUCAUCUAACGUGUUCGGCACAGGGAAAUCCACCGCCUACGUUCAACUGGUUUCGAGACGUGAAUGGGUUGCUGCAGCCCGUCCACUCGUCGUCGCGUUUCGAGCCGCUACAGGAUGUCCUGCUUAUUAGAAGACUGAAGCCGGAGGAUUCGGGUAAAUGGACCUGUAAAGUCUCCAAUCACUUCGGGGAACAGCGACUCGAUAUCCAAUUAACCGUCACAGCUCAUCUGACUCUACACGUUCUGCCCCAACUACAGGUUAUAAAUUCAGGGGAGAGUGCUAUUUUUAACUGUAGCGUCUCGGGGUCUCCGGUAGGGCGUAGCUAUUGGCUCAGAAAUGGGGAGGUGCUGUCCCCCGAUGGAAAUCCAAGGAUUAGGCUGUUGAGUCCUCUUGUACUGGCAAUUAAUAGGGUGACGAGGCAUGACCGUGGGAUGUAUCAGUGCGUUGUACGUAACGAUAGGGAGAGCGCUCAAGGAAGUGCUGAACUAAGGCUCGGAGAUACGGUUCCCGAGUUACAGUACACCUUUAUAGAACAAGCGUUAAGACCGGGACCUCAGGUUUCCUUGAGAUGUUCAGCAACAGGAUCUCCUCCACCGCAAUUCCGAUGGUUACUGGAUGGAGAAUCCUUGUCGGAACUGAAUAUCGGCCAUAGAUACGCUAUAGGACAGUACGUAGACCACGCAGGGGACGUUAUAAGUCACCUGAACAUAUCAAGCGUACGCGUCGAAGACGGCGGAUUAUACAGUUGUCGGGCUGUGAACUCUCUCGGUUCCGUCGAGCACGAGGCCCGGCUCAAUAUUUAUGGGCCGCCCUUUAUCCGCUCGAUUGGCCCCGUUAAGGCCGUAGCAGGAUCGGAUGUUACUCUCCAUUGUCCUUAUUCUGGGUAUCCCAUCGGAUCCGUUCGAUGGAAGCGGCAAGGACAGGAUUUGCCGAUAGACCUUCGACACCGUAUCGAGGAAGGUGGAUCUCUGACCAUCACCAGACUGGAUCCUUCUAUAGAUUCAGACUUGUAUACGUGUUUUGUCAGCGGCCGAAAUGGCGACGUCGUUCACCGCAACAUUCAGUUGGUCGUUCACAGUCCACCGAUUCUAGAACCCUUUUCCUUUCCCACGAGCCUUCAGGAGGGUGGCAGGGCGCAAGUGACUUGUUAUGUCACCUCCGGGGACAUGCCCAUCCACUUCGCCUGGUACAAAGAUGACAUGCCGAUUUCCGCCAACCUAGAGGUUGCCGAGCGGGCCGCCGAAUUCUACAGCAUGUUAAUAUUUAAAGAAGUCUCCUCGAAGCAUAGCGGAGCUUACACCUGCGUGGCGAGUAACUCCGCAGCGAGGGCGAACUAUACGGCGAACUUGAUGGUGAAAGUUGCGCCCCAAUGGGUCAUAGAACCGCAGGACGUAUCGACUUUAUUAGGAAAUCCAGUUCUUGUCGAAUGUUCUGCUAAGGGAUUUCCUAGGCCUCAGAUAACGUGGCUGAAAGGACAAGGGAAAACUUCUAGUGAUUACCAGCCGGUAUUAAAUUUGCAUGGUAGGACACUACUGUUGGCAAACGGAUCCAUGUUGCUUGACGCUGUGACACCCCAAGAAGAAGGACAUUACUUAUGCAGGGCUACGAACGGCAUCGGGUCCGGUUUGGGAAAGGUUAUUUAUAUCGACGUGAACGAACCUGCCCGCUUCGACGUUCCCUCCAGGAACAUAUCAACGAAGCGAGGGGGACCUAUCGCAUUGGUAUGCCACGUCUACGGCGACCUCCCUAUCGAGAUCUUGUGGACCCAUAACGGGAACCGACUCGAUCUCAACAGCUAUAGACUUACUGUAACCGAAUCCAAGAGCGAAAACGGGGUAAAGUCUCAGGUAACUAUCAAUAGAAGCGAUCGCGACGACUCCGGCAUCUACAAAUGUCACGCGGAAAAUGCUUAUGGGAGAAGCGGACACGUGAUCAACUUAGCUGUACAAGAAAGACCCGAUCCACCAGCGUUUUUGGAAGUUGUCGAAGUCGGAAGUCGAUCUGUUCGACUGGCUUGGAAAAAAAGCUUUGAUGGAAACAGUCCCAUUUUAGGAUAUUUGGUUCAAUAUCAACCGCUUGGGAUUAGUAGACCUGAUUGGGAGAAUGCUGCUACGCAAAAUAUUACAUUACCAGCGAUUACAUCAACUACAAGUGGUGACGACCCACGAGAGAGCGCAAUAAUCGGCAGCCUGCUGCCUGCCACUGCAUAUAAAAUAAGGAUGCUAGCGGUGAAUGGCAUCGAUCAGAGUCCGUUUACUGAGGAUGCAGUGGUGAAGACGCAAGAAGAGGAACCCUCGGAGUCUCCUAGAGACUUGCGGGUGGACGCCGUCGGGGCUGGGGAGUUGUUCUUGUCGUGGCAGGUGCCGCCAAGGGAAACUUGGAACGGAGAACUCCUCGGAUACAUCGUCUCGUGGAACGAACAGGGCAAGACGUCGAAUAACACCAAGACCUUAACGGUGAAAGGCUGGGCCACAACCAAAGUUCAAUUAACGGGUCUCCGCAAGUUUACUCGGUACGAUAUCACCGUCCGCGCUUACAACAGCGUUUCCGUCGGUCCCCAGUCCGCCACCAUAACUGGCGUUACCAAAGAAGGGAUUCCCGAGGCGCCGCCUCAAGAUAUCAGCUGUUCACAAAUCUCCUCGCAGAGUAUGAAAAUCUCGUGGACGCCGCCUCCAGCUCAAUUACACGGCGGCGUCAUCCAAGGAUAUAAGAUUUUUUACAGACCAGUCGUCCUAGAUAAUGUUGAUAUCUCAACAACCGGCGAAGUUAAACGCACGCCUAGCACAGACACUUAUCUUCACGGUCUUUAUAAAUACACCAACUACUCCAUCAAAGCUUUAGCUUACACCGGCGCUGGAGAUGGUAUAUUAAGUUCUCCGUUAUUUUGCACAACCGAAGAGGAUGUACCGGGACCCCCUGCGAACAUAAAAGCCGCUGCGUUGACCGGUGAAUCGAUCUUGGUUUCGUGGUUGCCGCCCACGAAACCUAACGGAAAGAUAAACCAUUACACCGUGUACGCUAGGGAAGCUGGUAGAGUUGGAAAACACACCAGUUAUGCUCUUAGAAUGGAGGACAACCCCUACACCCACGGAUUAAUGUUCGAAGUCCGCAAUCUCGUAGAAGACAAACUCUACGAGUUUUGGGUGUCUGCUACCACGAGUAUUGGAGAGGGUGAACCUACUUCCAUAGUCGCCCAAGCGGCUAAAUCUCGAGCUCCUUCCAGGAUCGCAUCCUUUAGUCAAACUUUACAAAAAGCUGUAAAAACCAAAGUUCUUCUUCCGUGUCAUGCUGUUGGAAAUCCCACCCCUAGAACUCGAUGGAUACACAGAGAUCGACCGAUCACGUUUAGUCCUUAUUACGAGGUAACAUCGGAUGGACAUUUAAGUAUUCACAGCGCCGAUCAAAGUUUGGGUGGUAAUUACACCUGUUCUGCAAAGAAUCUUUUUGGCGAAGACGCCAUUACUUAUACCUUGAUAGUUCUUCUUCCACCCCAAGCACCGGUGUUAGAGGAACAAUUUACAACCGCGAAAAGCAUCAGAAUUCGAUGGAGCGUCCCUAACGAUGGAGGUACACCAAUACAAGGUUACACAUUGAACGGUAAAAAGGAAACGGAAAACUGGUCGUCGAUGGAACUGUCGCCGGAGCAAACCGCGUACAACUUCGACGAUUUGCACUGCGGCUCGCAGUACCACCUCUAUGUAUUGGCUCAUAACAAAGUCGGAAACGGUAGCCCUAGUCCCAUAUUGACGUCGCGCACUAAAGGGGGCCCACCCCAGCUACCGAAGGAAAACGAUUUCAUAGUCACGAACGCGACAACACUCCAGUUAAAUUUAUUCAAUUGGCCAGACGGCGGCUGUCCGAUAUCACAAUUUUCCGUAACAUACAAGUCCCUCGGAGCAGACAAAUGGGUUCUGGUAUCCAGCAGCGUCUCCGGCGAGAAACUCCUCGUUCAGGAUCUGCAACCAGCCACGUGGUAUCAGCUGAAAGUAACCGCCGAGAACGACGCCGGUGUAUCACACGGCUUAUUCAACUUCGCCACCACCACCCUUACAGGGGCCCGCGUAUUACCACCACCCAACUUGAACGAAGAUCUCCCCGCGUCCGCCGGCUUCGGAUACAAAGAGCUGUACAUACUAAUACCCUCACUAUGCGCCUGUGUACUAGUUACUUGUAUCGCACACACGUGCUACCGAAAUUUCAAGAGGAAGAGGGGCGUCGAACGAGAGUCGCAACAAGCGGGGGAGGAGCCAGACGAGAAAACCGUCGAUAGGGAAAAUAGAAGGAAUUGUCAACAAGUCUACACUUCGUCACCUAUUAAGGCCGGCGAUAAAAUCCCCGAUGAUGGUUCGGGCAUGUACGAAAUUAGUCCUUACGCCACUUUCAGCGUUCCAGGAAACAAUAGUAGAUCUGUAACCACUUCGACUCUCGACUACACUAUGCAAUUCAAGACUUUUGGCCAUAUCGAAGACGAAGACCAUAACGCCAUCCCUUACAGUAAGAAUGCCGGAAAACAUAGUUGGCACAAACAUCGUUAUUAUAAUACAGAAGGUGUUCAACAAACGAGAAUUAGGGGUGGCAGGAUAGCUUCAGCAAGAGGUGACUCAGAAUCGGACGAUACUAGCGGAAGUCCGUGCGGUGAGUGCCCAAGCAGUUCAAAUUACAGAGUCCCGGUGAAGUCUUCGCGAGGUGAGAAGGAGCAGAAUUGCGCCUCGGGUUACGAGACGCUGCUGGUUUCAGAUCUCUUCCGGCCCGACUCCAGCACAGAGUCAAACGAGGUGUCUCCGCUGGCGGAGCGGCGAAACACACCCCGGCACGUCGGGGGUCAUCGCCGCCACCAGCGAGCUGCAAGUUCCAGCAGGUAGCCACUAAGCUCAAGACAGCAACCGGAAGAAGGCACUUCUUCGGGCGCCUGUCUCCAGCCGCCAACUGGGUUUUCCGACAGUCGGGAGCUUAGUGAGGCCGAGUGCGAUCGAGAUAUCGCACAGGGGAAGCUGUCCACGGAGUUAGUAAGCCUUCUGUCAAGGUAUCAAGAAAGGAAGGAACAGGAGCGCAAGGAAUUUACUAUACAUGUCUAAGGCGCAACACAAUAUAGUGUUCAUCUAGUUCUGCAGCCGAAUUAACGCUGAUUUUAUGUAAAUAUUACGAAAUCGUAAUAAAUAACAUGAAACGUG